GACGUAGGAUGCAAGCGUUGUCCGGAAUUAUUGGGCGUAAAGCGUUCGUAGGCGGCACGUUAAGUUUAGUGUUAAAGCCCGGGGCUCAACUCCGGAUCGGCACUAGAUACUGGCGAGCUAGAGUGUGGUAGAGGCAAGGGGAAUUCCAGGUGUAGCGGUGAAAUGCGUAGAUAUCUGGAGGAACAUCGGUGGCGUAAGCGCCUUGCUGGGCCAUAACUGACGCUGAGGAACGAAAGCCAGGGGAGCAAAUGGG
rnacentral:rRNA from 1 species